rnacentral:rRNA from 1 species
AUUGAACGCUGGCGGCAUGCCUUACACAUGCAAGUCGAACGGCAGCACGGGAGCAAUCCUGGUGGCGAGUGGCGAACGGGUGAGUAAUAUAUCGGAACGUGCCCAGUCGUGGGGGAUAACGUAGCGAAAGCUACGCUAAUACCGCAUACGAUCUAUGGAUGAAAGCGGGGGAUCGCAAGACCUCGCGCGAUUGGAGCGGCCGAUAUCGGAUUAGGUAGUUGGUGAGGUAAAGGCUCACCAAGCCGACGAUCUGUAGCUGGUCUGAGAGGACGACCAGCCACACUGGGACUGAGACACGGCCCAGACGCCUACGGGAGGCAGCAGUGGGGAAUUUUGGACAAUGGGCGCAAGCCUGAUCCAGCAAUGCCGCGUGCAGGAUGAAGGCCUUCGGGUUGUAAACUGCUUUUGUACGGAGCGAAAAGGCUUCCACUAAUACUGGGGGCUCAUGACGGUACCGUAAGAAUAAGCACCGGCUAACUACGUGCCAGCAGCCGCCGUAAAAC